rnacentral:rRNA from 1 species
UACAGGGGGGGCAAGCGUUGUUCGGAAUUACUGGGCGUAAAGGGUCAGUAGGCGGCCAACUAAGUCCGACGUGAAAUCCCAAAGCUUAACUUUGGAACUGCGUCCGAUACUGGAUGGCUUGAAUCCGGGAGAGGGAUGCGGAAUUCCAGGUGUAGCGGUGAAAUGCGUAGAUAUCUGGAGGAACACCGGUGGCGAAGGCGGCAUCCUGGACCGGCAUUGACGCUGAGGAGCGAAAGCCAGGGGAGCAAACGGG